rnacentral:rRNA from 1 species
UACGUAGGGUGCAAGCGUUAAUCGGAAUUACUGGGCGUAAAGCGUCCGCAGGUGGCAGUUCAAGUCUGCUGUCAAAGACCGGGGCUUAACUUCGGAAAGGCAGUGGAAACUGAACAGCUAGAGUAUGGUAGGGGCAGAGGGAAUUCCUGGUGUAGCGGUGAAAUGCGUAGAGAUCAGGAAGAACAUCGGUGGCGAAGGCGCUCUGCUGGACCAUAACUGACACUCAGGGACGAAAGCUAGGGGAGCGAAUGGG